AUUGAACGCUGGCGGCAUGCUUUACACAUGCCAGUCGAACGGCAGCACGGGUGCUUGCACCUGGUGGCGAGUGGCGGACGGGUGAGUAAUGCAUCGGAACGUGUCCUAAAGUGGGGGAUAACGCAUCGAAAGAUGUGCUAAUACCGCAUAUUCUCUGAGGAGGAAAGUAGGGGAUCGAAAGACCUUAUGCUUUUGGAGCGGCCGAUGUCUGAUUAGCUAGUUGGUAGGGUAAUGGCUUACCAAGGCGACGAUCAGUAGUUGGUCUGAGAGGACGACCAGCCACACUGGGACUGAGACACGGCCCAGACUCCUACGGGAGGCAGCAGUGGGGAAUUUUGGACAAUGGGCGCAAGCCUGAUCCAGCAAUGCCGCGUGAGUGAAGAAGGCCU
rnacentral:rRNA from 1 species